UUUGGCUUUUGUAUGGCGCUGUAAUUUGGUAUAUAAUUUGAGUGAGAAAUUCUAGUUGUGUUGGGGUACACAGAAGGCUGUUAAGUAGUUUCAAUGACAUGGUUUUAUAAACAGAAGCUACCAUUGUGGAAUGGGUUAUGGGGGGUUUGUCACGAUACAAGUGAUUGCCUCUGGUGGUCAGGGUGUUAUCAGUGACAUUUUAUUUUGGCACUUUAGUUUUGUAUCAUAGAAAUCAGAGUCUAUAUUUAUGCUUGAUAAUGUUUUAUGAUACAAGUAUUUCGUUUUUAGCUUUUCGAAUCGAAUAAUUUGAGCAUCAAAGAUUCGUGGGAACAGGCCAGAACUGGCGAGUCUAUAUCAAAAGAAACUGGAUAAAAGGUUGAGGAUAAAUAGAAAUCGCUCUCUCUCACACACACAAACAUCUAAACCAAGUCAGACAAGGCUUAGUAGUUGUUGAUGUAGCAUAUGUGAUAUAUAUAGUAGCGGCAGAAAUAAUUUUAUGCGAUCCCUGAUAAUACUGAUAUAUUGUGAUGUUCUCUGUUCUAUAAUUAUAUAGAAAUUUGAAAAACCAAUAUAUAAAUUAUAUUGGGCUUUUUGUAGAUACAUGGAUUCAAAAUUUAGGUAAUAAUCCUGGUAGAGGUUUGUGAUAUUUUAUCAAUUUUUUUAGACUAGAUAAUUCAGUGUUCUUAUGCACGGAGUUAGUUAAGCUGAUUUCUCUGGUUGGACUUGACUUUUCUUUUUUUCUUUUUAAGAAAAACACAUUUUUCAUGUUCCAUAGUUGUAUCUUGUUUUCUCUGGCAAUUUGGCUGUUGGAAUUGUGAGUAUAGUUUUAAACAGUUUGUUUGUCCUUUUAGGCAAUGUUGACUGGUUCUGAGUGUAGUUUCAGAAUGGUUUGAGUUUGAUGACAGUUUAUUUUUUCCAUUGCCACUGUAUGUCCCUUACCUUACUGAGUGGGGAAUUCAAAUAAAAGCUGUAUCACAUCUUACACUCAGAAGCAUCAAUUAUGGUUAACUAUUUGCUAUUCUAUUGUCUGGAGGAAAAAGGAAUUUACAAAUAGAAAAAGAAAAGAGAGACAAUAAAUAUCUGCACAGGAAUAAAGCAAAAGAGAAAAUGUAGGUCCAAGUGAUUGAGCUACGUAACAAGGCAUGCCAAUCUGAAUAAUGAUAUACAUCCAAGUGUUCUUAUUAACCAAGUCCAAUCAAGUUGGUCUAACAUCAACAAAAAUCAAUUAUGGGUCGCAUUAUUUCAAGUCUUGUUGUUUAACUUGGCUGGACUUGAUUUAUAAAAAGACUUGGAUAUGUAACAUUAUUCCGCUGAUCUGUCUACAUAUCUAAACAUCUUUGAAGAGACCAUUAGUAGGGCACCACUGAGAUGCAAACGGAAAAACCCUAUGUCGGCACAUUUUAGUUCAUUUUUCUUUUGUAGUCUGCAAUUUCUCUCGUGAAAUUUAAUAUCAGUUAGUAGCUUGUUCCUUUUCCCUUGUUGCAUGUAAUCACCUCAUCUUCCUUGUUGAACUAGAGUUCAUUUUCCCAUUUUCUCUGUAACUUAUCUCAACAAUUUAGUUAAAACAAUACUAGCAAGCACAAUUAAUUCUACCUGUUAGUUUUUGUAUGCAUGUCUAAUUAAAUUAGAUGUAUGCGAUAUACUAUAUUUGGAAAGUAAACAGGUAAGAGAACCUGUUGAAUAUGAGUUAAUCUUAGCUGUUAUAGAGCAUCCUUAUUCUUGUUGCCUGCCUAAAACAGGUGUAGAUUAUUUGAUAUUUAUUUUUUAUCCUUCUCACCUUUGAGGACAAGAAGAGUAACAGUUAUAUAACCACAAUAGUUUGUAUAACUUCUGGGAAUAUUGGUAGACUUAGUUAUUACUUUAAGUUGCUUAUGUUAUAGCUUCUAGUGUAGAAGA